GGGUUAGGGGAAAGGGGGUGAGCUACAAAAGCCCAGUGAGCAGAAAAAUAAAACAAUUUCAAUAUCACAUGUUUUUAUGAAAUGCAUCACAACACAAGUAAAUCACCUUAAGAUAGUAUUGUCACCAAUAGCCCUCUACAUAUCCAAUAAAUGCCCGGCCCUCGACGGAGCUGCUCAGGACUUCCUCUUAAACAUAACAUAACAUGUCCA
rnacentral:lncRNA from 1 species